rnacentral:rRNA from 1 species
AGAGUUUGAUCCUGGCUCAGAUUGAACGCUGGCGACGUGCUUAACACAUGCAAGUCGUGCGAGAAAGUAGACUUCGGUCUAUGAGUAGAGCGGCGCACGGGUGAGUAACGCGUGGAUGAUCUACCCUUGAGUUCGGGAUAACGGUGCGAAAGCGCCGCUAAUACCGUAUAACAAUCCAUUUCAUCGUGGGUUCAAAGCAGGCCUCUUCGUGAAAGCUUGCGCUUGGGGAUGAGUCCGCGUCCCAUUAGCUUGUUGGCGGGGUAACGGCCCACCAAGGCUACGAUGGGUAGCUGGUCUGAGAGGAUGAUCAGCCACACUGGAACUGAAACACGGUCCAGACUCCUACGGGAGGCAGCAGUGGGGAAUACUGCGCAAUGGGGGAAACCCUGACGCAGCGACGUCGUGUGAGGGAAGAAGGCCUUCGGGUCGUAAGCC